rnacentral:rRNA from 1 species
CCUACGGGAGGCAGCAGUGAGGAAUAUUGGUCAAUGGGCGUAAGCCUGAACCAGCCAAGUCGCGUGAGGGAUGAAGGUUCUAUGGGUCGUAAACCUCUUUUAUGCGGGAAUAAAGUGUGGGACGUGUCCUGUUUUGUAUGUACCUUAUGAAUCAGGAUCGGCUAACUCCGUGCCAUCAGCCGCGGUAAUACGGGGGAUGCGAGCGUUGUCCUGAUUUGUUGGGUUUAGAGUGUGGGUAGUGUGUGAGGGAAGUCAGCGGUGAAAUGCACGCGAGCAACGGGGUGAAGUGCCGUUGAUACUGCCGUGCUGGAAUGCGGAUGCGGUGGGAGGAAUGUGUGGUGUAGCGGUGAAAUGCAUAGAUAUCACGCAGAACACCGAGUGCGAAGGCAUCUCACGAAUCCGCGAUUGACGCUGAGGCACGAAAGCGUGGGUAUCAAACAGGAUUAGAUACCCCGGUAGUC